ensembl:lncRNA
CUCCUGCAGGAGGGUCUGUAAACCCUUCACAGUCCCUUGCCACAAGAUAUGCAUUCCUUUAAGCAAGGUACCGGCCAGAGGUGUCUUCUAGGUGCCCCAUGUCAUGUGUUCUAGUAUUUCAGCCACUCUCGUUGUGCUGAGAGUCUUGUUCACUUUGAAAAAAAAAAGAAGCUCUAUGAAGACAAACAUCAUAGUUCUAUGAUGGUCCAAGCAAAAUAGCCAACGAAGAGUAAGUCUUUGCCUGAGUCUCACUUAUACACUGUACUUUUGACACUCUUGAAGACGCCCUAUACAUCUUUAGAUCACAACAUUCAUUUGACAUGACACAGUUUACUCUCUCACACAGCUAUCAAGUGUGGCACGUACAUUAGACCAAGAGGAACAGGAAGCAUGCCAUGCAUCAAGACGGCCUCCUAAGAAUAAGCAAUGAAAAUUGCAUGAAAGGUCAGAUGGGGGAGCAGUUGGAUCAUGGGCAGGAAUCAGCACAUCAAGAAUGAAACAAAACAUUCUUGUUGCAGGUCCCUGUGUCUCCUGUGUGGUUGCUGCUGAUGUGUGAAAUUCAGGUCACUUGCCAGAAAUCCUGAGAGCUGGUUUCAAGUGAUG